rnacentral:lncRNA from 1 species
CAGCGUGGGGGCUCUGUGGCCAGUGUAGGGGCUCUGUAGUCAGCAUGGAGGCUCUGCGGUCAGUGUGGGGGCUCUGUGGUCAGUGUGGGGGUUCUGUGGUCAGCAUGGAGGCUCUGUGGUCAGCGUGGAGGCUCUGCGGUCAGUGUAACAGCUCUGUGGUCAGUGUGGGGGCUCUGUGGUCAGUGUAGAGGUUCCACAGUCAGUGUGGGGGCUCUGUGGUCAGUAUGGGGGCUCUGUGGUCAGUGUAGCAGCUCUGUGGUCAGUGUAGGGGCUCUGUGGUCAGCAUGGAGGCUCUGUGGUCAGUGUAGGGGCUCUGUGGUCAGUGUGGGGGCUCUGUGGUCAGCAUGGAGGCUCUGUGGUCAGUGUGGGGGCUCUGUGGUCAGUGUGGGGGCUCUGUGGUCAGCAUGGGGGCUCUGUGGUAGGGUCAGAAGGCAGAGAUGCAACCUUGCGCAGGGUGGGGGCAGAUGCCCCAAGAGCCACAGAGGGCACAGGCCAAGGACAUGGGUCGGUGACAGAGCGCAGCGUCUCAUUCAAGGGACCACAGGAUCAACAGUGGCAAGGGCCCCCCGGUGCAGCAGCCCUGGUUCACGUCUUGGCCCCACAUUCAGCAUCCGUGUGUCCUUCAGUGGCUGGGCCCUGCUUGGCAAAGCCGGGGUACAGCAUCCUCCUUGGGGUGUGCUGACCUCUCCCAGGUGCACUGCUCUGAGGACGUCUGCGGCACAGUCUGAGGAUGCCACCCAAAACUCACCCGACUUCUCUGAGUGCUUCGAUCCCAACGGCCCCGGGAUCUGUGGGGUCUGCGGGGUCUGCAUCGGCAGUGCGCCCGAAUCCGCUGUCCUCGGGAGAAGCGCAGGGGCUAUGCUGCCUCCCUCAUCCUCCUCCCGACAGCUCAGCCCCGCGCAUUCACCUGGCCCGUGCCGCGUUUCACGGAGCAGGAGUGAUCUGGCCAUGGUUUAUGGUGCAGGGGGUGGAGGGUGGGGGUUCUUCACCCCCACAUAAACGCUGAGUCACCUC